GCCAUAUUGAUCUGAGGUGAGCCACUGUGGCUGCUGCUGAACAGAGCUUCAUGGCUUCAAAAUCAAAUUAACAUGAUUGAGUUACAGACAUAACAGGAAAGAAAAGAUGUUGUGGGGACAACAUUGUAAAUGCUCCCCUAUGGACCUGUGAGCAUUGGGACUGCUGACUGGAGACUGUUGCUGCCCCCUGGAGGACCUGCAUUCACAUUACCUCAACUCAGCUGUACAGGAGCAACAAAGGUGUUCCUGUUAUUCUGUCCACCCAUAGCAUAUGAUUGGAAUGCGUGAGAAAUGAGUUGAGGUGAGAUCACAAGAAUACAAGAUCCCAAUCUGAUUUCACUCAUCACAUCUGGACAGAUGUAUGUUGCCUCUGUCUGCAAACGGAAGGCACAGCUAACAUGCAGCAUUCAACUGUUCAGCCAUGCCUCUAGCCCACCUUAGCUAACAGUCAGAAUAAGUAUGAAUGCACGCACCACUCAAGGUUAGUUUGUAAAAUUUUGAACAACUUAAUUUUUCUUAUGGAACAUCACUCCUAAAGCUUGUGGACAGUUAUGGUGACAUAAUUAUGCUCUUAAUUCACUGAUUUCAAUGAAAAAUUGUUAAUGAGUGACAUAUGAAUGACAACAAGAGGAUACACUCCUUGUGUAAAAAGGACAAAUUGCCGAAAAACAGCAAAA